GAAACGCAUAUAACAAUAGACAUAUAUCACUUGUUAUUAAUAUUAAACUUUUUAUUAUUUUCAUGAAAUGCUAUGACUGCUGAAAUAAAGGAUAAUGAGUGUCAAAAGGGGGACUUAAAUUUCACACCUUUGGGGUUAUUUUACAUUAUAGCCAUUACCAUAUAUAUUAUCUGCUGUUGCCUUGGGUGGAUGUGUGUAUGUGUUAUGUUCUCUAGCUGAUUUGAAACAUUGUUGAAAGUAUCAGGGCCAUGGAACUUUCUCAUGCUGGGAAAAUACAGAAGGGAGGGCACAUUCAGAGCGUGGGGUUGCGAACAAGCAGUCUUUUGUUAGAUAACAGGAGCCAGGUGCGAGAUAACGGUAUGGAGCAUGAGACCCAUCUUUUAGUUUUUGCAGCCAUUUUAGUGUUGUGCGGCUGCGGUUGCAUUCCAUGUAUCCGGUCCCUUACUGCUAGAGUUAUCUCCAGAGCUAUUGACCCUUCUUCCCCUUCCCAGAUGUAUCCUCUGCUUGCUAAUGACCUGCCAGAGUUUGAGGAUGAGGUGGAGAAUACCCUUUAGAGAGUGUCACAUCUUUUGGAGAUGUGAAGAGAGGGUAUCACAACUUUUUCCUGCUGGAAAAGGUUGGCUUAUUUUGGACAAACAUUUUACUUAUAGCUUAGAGCUGUUGUUCUCCGCAAUUGUUAAAUGAGGGUUGUAAGUUCCUAGGUGGCUGGUAGCCAACUUAGUACAUAGUGGGAUUGAGUGGAGAACUUGGUGGUAAUACAUAUACAUCCAUUUCUUUUUAAUGUUGUGCCUUUUUCAUAGCCCCUUUGGGAAAAGUUUUCUUUUGUAUCAGAAUCUAGUUAGGUUGUGUCACGUCUCUGGGGAGAUGUGAAGAGAGGGAUUUGUAGAGGACUGCUAAUUCCUAUGUAGGUGACAUUACACUACUAUAGCUGAGACACAUAGUAAAACAGGUUGGGCCCCAUACAGGAUAUCUCUCACACACACACACACUCACUGUAAUCAUCCAGAACACUGUCACAACAGGAUACUCCUAGCCACAGGUGCUAGCCGGCAGUUCGGCCACAACUCCCCUGAAGAUAGGGACGCAUACGCUCUUACACACUGACCCCAGAAGACAGGGACGACGCACAUACAGUACACACAUAGCUGCCGAGGACACACAGAUAAGACAUACACCCACACAUUGGGAGGAAGAGACAGCCUUGACUUGCAGACACAAGCACACACACACAAUCUCCUUCCUAGCCGAACAUUGUGUGACUGAGAACGACACGACGAGACCCGGAGGAACGACGGACGGCUCAACAGGACCAAUCCAAGAAGACAACACCUCAACUGUGGCCAAUCAAAAGCCAGGGACUUUCAGACUCAACCCACUUUUUGUACUGUACAUAACAUGCUUACAAUCUGUUAUCGGGGCUUCGUUCUGCUGGUUCCUUGGUAGCCAAAUGAAUGAGCCCGUAUACGUUGUACCAGAUAUCUUUACUCUGAAUAAACUGUCGCUUGUCAUAUAAUUGA